AUGAGGAAGAAUCAGUGGAAGAAGGGUUUGCACCGUCCACCAGCCUCCACUCUCUCCAGCCCCCACUAUCAGCGCAUGCUCCAGUUUAAGACCUUGAGCUCUCUCCAUCAACAAGGGACUGAUGUGAGGGAUUUUGCCCUGGAGUUCAGCGGUACUGCAGAGGGAUUGGAGUUUAAUGAUGCGGCCCUCAAGGACCUCUUCAAUUACGCCCUUGAUGAGCCUCUCAGCUGGUGGAGAAUGAGGGGACUGGACCACCUGUCGUUUGGGGAAUUUGUGGAGGUCGUGGCACGUUCCCCAGCUAAGGAGGCUUCAGUGCUGCCUGUGGUGCAAGUCAUAGCUGCAGUGCUCCCUAUGGUGAAUGAAGGAGCUGCAGUGCCCCCAGAGGUGACUUGUGACACUGCAGAACCCCUAGAGGUGGCCGAAGAGACUGCAGCACCUCACUCUUGUAGACGAAGGAGGGGAAGGAAGAGGAAUGGCUCCGCCCUGGUGCCCCCAGAGGUGCCUGAUGAGGCUGCAGCGCCUCCAGAGGUGCCUGAUGAGGCUGCAGCACCCCCAGUAGUGGCCGACGACACUACAGUGCCCCGGUCUCGGAGACGGAGGAGGAGAAGAAAGGCUUCCUCCAUCCUACAUGGCCCGGAGGCCAUUCGGGAGCCCACUGCUGGCCUGGAGGCCAUUCCAGUCAUGCCCAAGCUCCUUGCCCUGCCUGCGCCGCCCAAGCUCCUUGCCCUGCAGGCACCACCCAAGUUCCUUGCCUUGAUGCUGGCUCUGUCAAAGCUCCUUGCCCUGAUGCUGGCUCCGCCCUUGAUGAGUGCCUUGCCGGUUUUGCCCUUGCUAUCUGUUGGGGUCCCUGUUUGGCUGGAGGCCUCCUGGUCUCUCCGUCUCGUUCCGCCCUGGUGGUCUGCCGGGGUUCCUGUUAGGCCGGAGCCUCGCUGGUUUGUCCCUCCGGCACCGCCCUGGUGGUCUAUCGGGGUUUCUGUUAAGCCGGAGCCCUCUUGGUCUCCCACUGGUUCCGCCCUGGUGGUCUGCCUGGGUUCCUGCUAG
ensembl:lncRNA